rnacentral:rRNA from 1 species
AUGAGCUUGCUGUGGGUGGUUCCCCAGUUCCUCCUGGCAGGGUUGACCAGCGUAUUUGCAUAUGUUGGCCUGCUGGAGUUCUUCUACGACCAGGUGCCGGACUCCCUCCGGAGCUUGGGCGUAGCUCUGUGCAUGAGCAUAGGUGGGGCUGGCUGCUUCAUCAGUAGCUUCCUCGUGUACGCCAUUGACAGGGUGACCAGCAGCAAUGGGGGGAGCUGGUUCUCCAACAAUCUCAACAGGGGCCAUCUUGAUUACUUCUUCUGGCUCCGCCUUGGGCUUCUCCGCUUACCUGCACUUUGCAAAGGCUUAUGUCGAAAAGAAAAAGAAUUAUUCAGUUUUGGUACAAUGAUGUACAGAACGUUCAGUGUAACAAUCAUGACAAGUAUUAAGUAA